rnacentral:lncRNA from 1 species
CCCAAAAAAUUCCUCCCCCAAAAAUAUUCGUCUCUCCCGAAAAAUUCCCUCCAAAAAAGGAAUAUUUUCCCCAAAAAAUUCCCUCCAAAAAUGGGGUUUUUUUCCCUUAAAAAAAAGGGGUUUUCCCCCCAAAAAUUGGUUUCUCCCAAAAAAUUCCCGCCCCCCCAAAAAAAGAGGAUUUUCCCCAAAAAAAUUCCCCCCAAAUUUGGGGGUUUUUUCACAAGAAAUCCCCCCCCAAAAAAUCGAUUUUGGACAAGAAUUUUCUCCCAAAAAGUGGGAUUUUUUUCCUCAAAAAAUCCAGUUUUUCCCAAAAAUUCCCAAAAAAAAAGGGGUUAGCCAGGUCAAGGUCAACCCAAUGCAUGGAAUUCCAUGGAAAAUUUGGAUUUUUUUGGGUAUUUUGGGGAUCAUCAAGUCAAUGGUCAAUCCUCAAUGGUCAAGGUCAACAAAAUUCAUGGAAUUCCAUGGAAAAAUUUGGGGUUUUUUUGGGAAUUUUGGGGGCCAUCAAGUCAAUGGCCAAGGUCAACGACCAACCCCAACCCAACCCAUGGAAUCCAUGGAAAAAUUUGGAGUUUUUUUGGGAAUUUUGGGGUUGAUGGAUCCAUGGCCAAGACCAAUGGUCAACAUCAACUCAACCCAUGGAAUUCCAUGGGAAAAUUUGGGGUUUUUUGGGAAUUUUUGGGGUCAACAAGUCAAUGGCCAAUGGUCAAUGGUCAAUGGCCAAUGGUCAAUGGUCAAGGCCAACCCAAUCCAUGGAAUCCAUGGAAAAUUUGGGGUUUUUCUGGGAAUUUUGGGAGCCAUCAAGUCAAUGGCUGAGGUCAACGACCAACCCCAACCCAACCCAUGGAAUCCAUGGAAGAGUUUGGGGUUUUUGGGGAUCCGUGGCCAAGGUCAAUGGUCAAGGUCAACCCAAUUCAUGGAAUUCCAUGAAAAAUUAGGGGAUUUUUUUGGGAAUUUUGGGGUUGAUGGAUCCAUGGCCAAGACCAAUGGUCAAGGUCAACCCAACCCAGGGGAUCAUGGAAGAGUUUGGGGUUUUUUUGGGAAUUUUGGGGUUGAUGGAUCCAUGGCCAAGGUCAACAACCAACCCCAACCCAACCCAUGGGAUCAUGGAAGAGUUUGGCAUCGCAUUCAUUCCCUCCCAUCCCCGUGCAGGCGCCGGCGCCGGCAGCGGCCCGAAGCGACCCACCCUCCGA